CAUGAGGGUCCCUGCUCAGCUCCUGGGGCUCCUGCUGCUCUGGCUCUCAGGUGCCAGAUGUGACAUCCAGUUGACCCAGUCUCCAUCCUCCCUGUCUGCAUCUGUAGGAGACAGAGUCACCAUCACUUGCCAGGCGAGUCAGGACAUUAGCAACUAUUUAAAUUGGUAUCAGCAGAAACCAGGGAAAGUUCCUAAGCUCCUGAUCUAUAGUGCAUCCAAUUUGCAAUCUGGAGUCCCAUCUCGGUUCAGUGGCAGUGGAUCUGGGACAGAUUUCACUCUCACUAUCAGCAGCCUGCAGCCUGAAGAUGUUGCAACUUAU
rnacentral:lncRNA from 1 species